rnacentral:rRNA from 1 species
UACGUAGGGGGCAAGCGUUGUCCGGAUUCAUUGGGCGUAAAGAGCGCGUAGGCGGCCAGGUAGGUCGGUUGUGAAAACUGGAGGCUCAACCUUCAGAGGUCGACCGAAACCAUCUGGCUAGAGUCCGGGAGAGGAGAGUGGAAUUCCUGGUGUAGCGGUGAAAUGCGUAGAUAUCGGGAGGAACAUCAGUGGCGAAGGCGGCUACCUGGCCCAAUACUGACACUCAGGUGCGACAGCGUGGGGAGCAAACAGG